rnacentral:rRNA from 1 species
UACGUAGGGUGCGAGCGUUGUCCGGAAUUAUUGGGCGUAAAGAGCUUGUAGGCGGUCUGUCGCGUCUGCUGUGAAAAUCCGGGCUCAACCCCGGACUUGCAGUGGGUACGGGCAGACUAGAGUCUGGGUAGGGGAACGACGGAAUACCUGGUGUAGCGGUGAAAUGCUUAGAUAUCAGGUGGAACACCAGUGGCGAAGGCGGUGUUCUGGGCCAGUACUGACGCUGAGGCGCGAAAGCGUGGGGAGCGAACAGG